AUCCCGAGUCAUCUCGAUUAAGCUUGCAAAAGUUCUAGGCAAAAAAUCUCUUACAUCAACUCAAUUUCCUCUAUAUAAAUAUGGGAUAAGCAACUGCAAGACAUCAGUUUGAAAUAUUAUGUUAUGCCUUGACUCACCUGCUAGGAUUGAAGGAUGUUUUGUAAUGAUCAGAGCUAAGAGCAAAUUGGACAGAAAGAAAGGUUAAUUCCUUGACAUGAGGACUUGCCGAGAGAAAUUUUUCCCCCAGAGUUUUAUUUCCAAUUGCAGAAUACUACGAGAAUUAAGAAAUGCUCUCAAAUUGGAACUUCAGACCUAGAAUAUACCUUAUGGUCUAAAUGGAAGAAAGUGCAUGCUGUUGUGAACUGGGAUGUGGUUACUACUUUACUUUGAAGGUUUUGCAAUAUGCAAACUGGAGGAAAUUCAAAAGACUCGAUUGGUACCAAAGCAGGAGAAUAAAUUACAGUGAAUGGGCACAGUGUGGAUGCAUGUUGUCAGGUAAAAAACAAGGAACUUGUUGAAUGGUUUUCUUGAGAGAAGGAACUUGCUGAAUGUUGAAGCAUGUGGAAGGCACCAAGGGGCAACAACAGAACCUGGAAAGCUGCAAGGAGAGAGGCUUCAGCAUUAGAUUUACAAUGGCGUUGCGUUAUUUUCAGCUGAUGUGCAUAUAUCUGAAGAGUUAUCAUCUCAAGUCACUGUUUAUUUCGAAUACAAGAUCCAUUAGAGUGUAGAAACUGAUUCUGUGCGCAACUAAAAUAAUGCAAAUUAGAUUUUUGCUCCCCCACAACCGAAGAACAACAUUAAUGUCGAAGGCAUUCAAGGGAGAAGAAGAUACAUACAUCAUCAGUUGCAAGGGAUAUGCAUCUUGAUGUAUGCUAUUUGAUGGCUCUUAAAUUAGACCGCAAUGGGGCAUUGAAUUCUGGAAAAAUAAAAUUGAGCGGCCUAUCUUGCCUUUAAAGAUGACAUGCAAUUGGGCAUUUUUCCUUUGGAAUUCAUGGGAGCUCAAGAAUAUUAUUGUUCACUCGGUUCGCUUAAAGUUAGCAUUCAAGAUAAUUGCACUAACUCACCUUUUCCCCAUUUUUGAUAAGAAACUAAAAGUUACUUGCAUUCAAGAGGAAAGUACUGAGAAACCAUACACAAGGUAGAUGUGUGGCACAAGCUUCAUAAAUUGUGGACCAGGCCUUCAUCAGCCACCAAUUUAACAAAAUAAUUUUCUCUAACUCUCACGUCCCUUUCUUUAGCCCCUUUCUCCUCUUGGAUGGUCAGUCUGCUCCCUUCCAGAUCUAAACAAACGUGUUGUUUAACUUCCCCACACGUCACGGCCAC
rnacentral:lncRNA from 1 species